rnacentral:rRNA from 1 species
UAGCAAGGUUAACCGUAUAGGGGAGCCGGAGGGAAACCGAGUCUUAAUUGGGCGUUAAGUUGCAGGGUAUAGACCCGAAACCCGGUGAUCUAGCCAUGGGCAGGUUGAAGGUUGGGUAACACUAACUGGAGGACCGAACCGACUAAUGUUGAAAAAUUAGCGGAUGACCUGUGGCUGGGGGUGAAAGGCCAAUCAAACCGGGAGAUAGCUGGUUCUCCCCGAAAGCUAUUUAGGUAGCGCCUCGUGAAUUCAUCUCCGGGGGUAGAGCACUGUUUCGGCUAGGGGGCCAUCCCGGCUUACCAACCCGAUGCAAACUGCGAAUACCGGAGAAUGUUAUCACGGGAGACACACGGCGGGUGCUAACGUCCGUCGUGAAGAGGGAAACAACCCAGACCGCCAGCUAAGGUCCCAAAGUCAUGGUUAAGUGGGAAACGAUGUGGGAAGGCCCAGACAGCCAGGAUGUUGGCUUAGAAGCAGCCAUCAUUUAAAGAAAGCGUAAUAGCUCACUGGUCGAGUCGGCCUGCGCGGAAGAUGUAACGGGGCUAAACCAU